GUUGCUGUGGUGUAGUGGGAUAGUGGUAGGUUCGCUAACCAAAAGGUCUAAGGUUCGAAUCCUUUUGGUGGAA